AGUGGCGCACGGGUGAGGAACACGUAGCUGACCUGCCUCGAAAUGGGGGAUAACGCGGCGAAAGCUGUGCUAAGACCGCAUACGCUUCUGGGGAUUAGGAGCCUAGAAGGAAAAGCGCAAGCUGUUUCGAGAGGGGGCUGCGACCCAUCAGGUAGUUGGGGCGGUAACGGCGCACCAAGCCGAAGAUGGGUAGCGGGUCUGAGAGGAUGACCCGCCACACUGGGACUGAGACACGGCCCGGACUCCUACGGGAGGCAGCAGUGAGGAAUAUUGGUCAAUGGGGGCAACCCUGAACCAGCGACGCCGCGUGAGGGGACGAAGGCCUUCGGGGUCGAAACCUUUUUUUUCAGGGGGACAAGCAAGGACGGUACCCUGAAAAAAAACCCUCGGCUUAAUUACGUGCCAGCAGCCGCGGUAAAACGUAGGAGGCAAGCUUUUUCCGGAGUUCCGGGGCGUAAAG
rnacentral:rRNA from 1 species